CUAAAUAUCUAGCCUGCCCACCACUACUUGUCUAUAAUUAAAAUAAAACAUUUUUGUCUUCUAGUAGGGGGGACUGAAAGAUUUAUAAGCGCUUUAGAAUAAGUACCGAAAGGGAAUGCUGAAAUAAUAAUGAAAUAAUUAAAGCCCUACAUAGCAAAGUUUAUCCCUUGUACCUUUUGCAUCAUGGUCAAGCCAGUAGAAUUAAGCAAAAAGUAAUUUUAGUUUAACUCCCCGAAACUGGGUGAGCUACUUCAAAACAGUUUUUAGAACAAACCCGUCCCUGUUGCAAAAGGGUGGGAAGAUUUUUUAGUAGCAGUGAAAAGCUUAUCGGACCCAGAGAUAGCUGGUUGUCUAAGAAAAGAAUCUGAGUUCAACCUUAAGGUUUAUUAUAAGUACAAGUAGACCACUAACCUUAAGAGCUAAUCAAAUAGGGUACAGCCUAUUUGACCAAGGACACAGCCUUAUACACAGGGUAAUAUUUUUAUUAUCUAAAAGUAGGCCUGAAAGCAGCCNNNNNNNNNNNNNNNCCUUCCAUCAUAACUCACAUCUAAUACCCCACAUUUUAAUCAACCCUUAACCACUAUUAGACGACUCCAUAGCCAUAUGGGAGACAUUAUGCUUGAACUAGUAACAAGAAUAUGUAAUUCUCCUAAAUGUAUGUAUAGGCCGUAAUAGACAGACCAACGGCAAUUAACGUCAAUAAAUCCACUAUAAUAACUCUCAAGAAAACUCUAUAAUUUAUAACGUUAAUCUUACACAAGGACAUUUCAGGAAAGAUUAAAAGGCAGAGAAGGAACUCGGCAAAUAAUAACCCCGCCUGUUUACCAAAAACAUCGCCUCUUGCUAAAAUAUUAGAGGUCUAGCCUGCCCAGUGAUUUUUUAACGGCCACGGUACCCUAACCGUGCUAAGGUAGCGCAAUUACUUGCCCUUUAAAUGAGGGCCCGAAUGAAUGGCAUGACGAGGGUUAUACUGUCUCCUCACCCCAAUCAGUGAAACUGACCUCCCUGUGAAAAGGCAGGGAUAUAAAUACUAGACGAGAAGACCCCAUGGAGCUUUAGACUUUGAGCAAGUUAGACACCUAAAAGUCCAAAACCUGUGUCUCUAUGGUCUUCGGCUGGGGCGACCAUGGAGAAAAAAUAAACCUCCACGCCGAACGGACAAUUCCUUAUCCAUGAAUAACAUUUCUAAGAAACAGAAUACUGACGCCUACUGAUCCGGACCCCGAUCAACGAACCAAGUUACCCUGGGGAUAACAGCGCUAUCUGCCUCGAGAGUUCAUAUCGACAGGCGGGUUUACGACCUCGAUGUUGGAUCAGGGUAUCCUAGUGGUGCAGCCGCUACAUAAGGUUCGUUUGUUCA
rnacentral:rRNA from 1 species